rnacentral:rRNA from 1 species
UACGUAGGGUGCGAGCGUUGUCCGGAAUUAUUGGGCGUAAAGAGCUCGUAGGCGGUUUGUCGCGUCUGCUGUGAAAACCUAAGGCUCAACCUUGGGCUUGCAGUGGGUACGGGCAGACUAGAGUGUGGUAGGGGUGACUGGAAUUCCUGGUGUAGCGGUGAAAUGCGCAGAUAUCAGGAGGAACACCGGUGGCGAAGGCGGGUCUCUGGGCCGAUACUGACGCUGAGGAGCGAAAGCGUGGGGAGCGAACAGG